rnacentral:rRNA from 1 species
GAUUAACCCAAGGUGCGAGCUGGGAUAGGAGCAUGAUGUGCACACUGAUCUAAGCAAAGAACGGCAGAGUGAUGCUUAGGAAUCUGCCUAUUAGUGGGGGAAACAUUUCGAAAGGAAUGCUAAUACCGCAUACGUCCUACGGGAGAAAGCAGGGGAUCUUCGGACCUUGCGCUAAUAGAUGAGCCUAAUUCGGAUUAGCUAGUUGGUGGGGUAAGGUCGUAACAAGGUGACGAUCUGUAGCGGGUCUGAGAGGAUGAUCCGCCACACUGGGACUGAGACACGGACCAGACUCCUACGGGAGGCAGCAGUGGGGAAUAUUGGACAAUGGGCGCAAGCGAGAUCCAGCCAUGCCGCGUGAGUAAAGAAGGUCUUAUGGUUGUGAAGCACUUUAAGAGAGCAGGAGGCUCCUUUAGUUAAUACCUAGAGAUAGUCGGCGUUACUCUCCGCGAAAGCACCGGUCAACUCUGUGCAAGCUCCCGCGAUAUUACGGAGGGUGAAAGCUUUAAUCGGAUUUACUGAGUAAAAAACCGCGCGCAGCCGCCUGAGUAAGCCCAACUUUAAAAUCCCCCGAGCUUAACUCGGGGAAAUGCUUUCCAUCCGGGGUGAGCAAGAGUGGGGGUAGAGGGCGCCAAAAAUUCCCGGUGAAGCCCCUAAAGUGCAGUAGAAAUCCUGUAGCAGUACGGAUGGCCAAGGAAUCUAUAUCGUCUAUUCUCUGCCCGUUAUCUCCCAAAAACGGGGGAGUAAAGGGAAAUAAAAACCCUUGGAAAUCCAGGUUUCAUCCCGAAGUCUACAAGCUUUUGGGGCCUUUUGA